GCUUCGUUAGUACAGUUGGUAGAGCGUUAGACCUUUAAUCUAACCGUCAGGGGUUCGAAUCCUCUACGGGGCC
rfam:Angiostrongylus costaricensis strain Costa Rica genome assembly, scaffold: ACOC_scaffold0002336